UCUCCUGGAAAACGGGUGGUAAUGCCGGAUGCUCCAGUUGAUCGCAUGGUCUUCUGGGAAAGCCUUUGCGGCAUGGGAUGGGGUCGCGUCCUAUCAGCUUGAUGGCGGGGUAACGGCCCACCAUGGCUUCGACGGGUAGCCGGCCUGAGAGGGCGACCGGCCACAUUGGGACUGAGAUACGGCCCAGACUCCUACGGGAGGCAGCAGUGGGGAAUAUUGCACAAUGGGCGCAAGCCUGAUGCAGCGACGCCGCGUGAGGGAUGGAGGCCUUCGGGUUGUAAACCUCUUUUGUUAGGGAGCAAGGCAUUUUGUGUUGAGUGUACCUUUCGAAUAAGCACCGGCUAACUACGUGCCAGCAGCCGCGGUAAUACGUAGGGUGCAAGCGUUAUCCGGAAUUAUUGGGCGUAAAGGGCUCGUAGGCGGUUCGUCGCGUCCGGUGUGAAAGUCCAUCGCUUAACGGUGGAUCCGCGCCGGGUACGGGCGGGCUUGAGUGCGGUAGGGGAGACUGGAAUUCCCGGUGUAACGGUGGAAUGUGUAGAUAUCG
rnacentral:rRNA from 1 species